CUGGUUUGGUGUUAAGUGCUCUGUUCUAGAGAAACUUACUGAGUCAGAAUUGUUCGUAGUAGUAGUUACAGGAACCAGACGUCUGAAGAGUUUAAUGUCUCUAAAAGCUACACUACAGAAAAAGAUUACAUUAAAUUGAUAAUAAAUAUGUUGCCUGAUGCCUGAGAGUUUUACAAUAGUUUUGGAAUAAGCAGUUUGGACCAGUGAAAUAUUCCCCUUUAAUGGUUCUGUUUCACUUGUUUUAAAGGUUUUGAUAAAAAAAAGACUGAUAAACACUGAAGGAAGCAGGACACUGCCUGCUCAGCUAUAAGUAUCACGUUCAUAUGUCUAUUCUUUGAGCAUUUGAAUCAAGACUAUGUUCUGUGUGUAACUGCUCCCUUACUGCAAGAAUAAAAGACUUCAAAGACAACCAGUGAUCCCAGGCUGUUUUUAAACAGAGAAUCUUUCUUACAACUUGGGCCUUUGAGCCGGAUCCCAACAUCUGACUUGAACUGCGUGGGGGAGUCUGAGACUCCUUUACAAAAAGACCUUUGGCACGCUCUGAAGAGAGCAGUUGUGCUUUAAAAAGAGGCCAGGAUUCUCUGGGCAGUGGAGGAGUGACGGGAUCACCCAUAGAUGCUGGGACACUGGAAAUUUGAAGUUGCAGCCGCUCUCAUCACCAUUUGUGGAUGUUGCUUCAUCCCAUGUGCAAGAGGACUCGCCCUGUGCCUCAUCGACUCUGCAGUCACCAAAGUCAUGAUGACCGAGGCACUCAACCCAGACUAUUCAGGCUACACAGCCAUGCUGACUGAACAAGACUCUCGAGAUUCUCGACUGUAACCAAACGGACAGUGAACACACAAGUGAAUGAUUUAUGAAGCAAUUUAUGAAAAUCUAACGAAGAGUAAACUGUAGAAAGUAAUCCAGAUGUACACUGUCAGUUCAAUUGCAUUAAUCAUAUAUCAAUUUGAUUGCAUUAAUCACUUGUUGGGUCAGUUGCAUUAAUGAUUUAACUGACCUUGCUUAAAACCCCUCACAUAUAGUAUAAACAGGAGGGAAAUGCUAGAAAAACUAAACUUUAUACUCUGUGCCGUAACUGAAGACUAUUACAUUCUAGGCUGUGAUGUGAGCAUUGCAAGGUCACAUAAGAAAAAGAGAUGUGUUAGCAUUAAUCGUGUAAGGAUAAAAAUAUGUAUAAGCAUUAAAAUACUCGUAGGGGUUGUGCGCACGAAGCUAAAAAGGAGCUACACCAGUUCUCAGUAAACCGGAUUCCUCACUUCUCAAAUUAACUGCCGAGAACUGGUGCGGUCAACACUGAAGGAAGAAGGACACUGCCUGCUCUGCUAUAAGUAUCACGUUCGUAUGUCUAUUUUUUGAGAAUUUACAUCCAGACUAUGUUCUGAGUGUAACUGCUCCCUUGCUGCAAGAAUAAAAGACUUCAAAUACAA